rnacentral:misc_RNA from 1 species
GAUGAAGAACGCAGCGAAAUGCGAUAAGUAAUGUGAAUUGCAGAAUUCCGUGAAUCAUCGAAUCUUUGAACGCACAUUGCGCCCUCUGGUAUUCCGGGGGGCAUGCCUGUCCGAGCGUCAUUUGCAACCCUCAAGCCCGGCUUGUGUGAUGGGUGCCGUCCCCUACGGGACGCGCCCCGAAGGCAAUGGCGGCGUCGCGGUUAUCCGAUCAGCCAAAGUGUAUGGGGCUUUGUCACUCACUUUACGGCCCGGACCGGCGCCAGUCCGAAUCAAUCUUUUUUCUAAAGUUGACCUCGGAUCAGGUAGGGAUACCCGCUGAACUUAAGCAUAUCAAUAACGGAGGA